rnacentral:rRNA from 1 species
GAUGAACGCUGGCGGCGCGCCUAACACAUGCAAGUCGAACGGUUAAAGCACCUUUUAGGUGUGUAUAAAGUGGCGAACGGCUGAGUAACACGUGGGCAACCUGCCCUCCUCUUGGGGAUAGCCUCGGGAAACCGAGGAUAAUACCCGAUACUUCAAUGUGGCCGCAUGACGACAUUGAGAAAGCUUUUGCGGAGAAGGAUGGGCCCGCGGCCUGUUAGCUUGUUGGUGGGGUAGAGGCCUACCAAGGCAAUGAUGGGUAGCUGGGUUGAGAGACCGACCAGCCAGAUUGGGACUGAGACACGGCCCAGACUCCUACGGGAGGCAGCAGUGGGGAAUCUUGCACAACGGGCGAAAGCCUGAUGCAGCGACGCCGCGUGCGGGACGAAGGCCUUCGGGUUGUAAACCGCUUUCAGCAGGGACGAGGCGAUAAGUGACGGUACCUGCAGAAGAAGCCCCGGCUAACUACGUG